rnacentral:rRNA from 1 species
CAAUAGCGUAUAUUAAAGUUGUUGCAGUUAAAAAGCUCGUAGUUGGAUUUGUGGCGUACGGUGUGUUCCGGGCACUUGUUGUCUGAGUAACCUGCUGUUGCCAUCCUUGGGUGGAACCUGUGUGGCAUUAGGUUGUCGUGCAGGGGAUGCCCAUCAUUUACUGUGAAAAAAUUAGAGUGUUCAAAGCAGGCUUAUGCCGUUGAAUAUAUUAGCAUGGAAUAAUGAGAUAGGACUUUUUUGCUAUUUUGUUGGUUUGCGCAAAGAGGUAAUGAUUAAUAGGGACAGUUGGGGGUAUUCGUAUUCCAAUGUCAGAGGUGAAAUUCUUGGAUUUUUGGAAGACGAACUACUGCGAAAGCAUUUACCAAGGAUGUUUUCAUUAA